GACCAUGUGGCCUCAUGGACAAGGCGUCUGACUUCGGAUCAGAAGAUCGAGGGUUCAAAUCCCUUCAUGGUUG
rnacentral:tRNA from 1 species